GGCUCGCUGCGGGCCAGCAGCCGCGGGAAGUGGGGGGGGGCGAGGGUGGUCCGGAAUAGCGGGGCGGAGGGGCGGCGGUGGCGGCUCAGUAAGUGGCUGGGGAAAGCCCGGGGCUCAAGUCCGGGGCGGCCGGUCAGGCUGGUGGGCUUGAGCACGGUAGAGGCGGAUGGAAUUCCCGGUGUAGCGGUGGAAUGCGUAGAGAUCGGGAAGAAUACCGGUGGCGAAGGCGUUCCGCUGGGCCGUUGCUGACGCUGAGGCGCGACAGCGUGGGGAGCAAACAGGAUUAGAUACCUAGUAGUC
rnacentral:rRNA from 1 species